rnacentral:rRNA from 1 species
AGAGUUUGAUCAUGGCUCAGAACGAACGCUGGCGGCAUGCCUAACACAUGCAAGUCGAACGAGACCUUCGGGUCUAGUGGCGCACGGGUGCGUAACGCGUGGGAAUCUGCCCUUGGGUUCGGAAUAACAGUUAGAAAUGACUGCUAAUACCGGAUAAUGUCUUCGGACCAAAGAUUUAUCGCCCAGGGAUGAGCCCGCGUAGGAUUAGCUAGUUGGUGAGGUAAAGGCUCACCAAGGCGACGAUCCUUAGCUGGUCUGAGAGGAUGAUCAGCCACACUGGGACUGAGACACGGCCCAGACUCCUACGGGAGGCAGCAGUGGGGAAUAUUGGACAAUGGGCGAAAGCCUGAUCCAGCAAUGCCGCGUGAGUGAUGAAGGCCUUAGGGUUGUAAAGCUCUUUUACCCGGGAUGAUAAUGACGGUACCGGGAGAAUAAGCCCCGGCUAACUCCGUG